CAAGCCUUUCAUGGCUCCGUCCGUUCGAAAAACAACGCUCCUUGCAAUAUGCAAAUUCAAGAAGGGCCGCACUCCGCGGUGUUUAAAUAAAUGAAGCGUACC
rnacentral:sRNA from 1 species